rnacentral:tRNA from 2 species
GCGCGCUUAGCUCAGCGGUAGAGCAUCACCUUGACAUGGUGGGGGUCAGUGGUUCGAUCCCACUAGCGCGCACCA